rnacentral:rRNA from 1 species
UUAUCGACAGUAGGUUUACGACCUCGAUGUUGGAUCAGGGUACCCCAGUAGUGCAGCCGCUACUAAUGGUUCGUUUGUUCAACGAUUAAAACCCUACGUGAUCUGAGUUCAGACCGGAGCAAUCCAGGUCGGUUUCUAUCUAUAAAGCGUUCCCCCUAGUACGAAAGGACCGGGACAACAUGGCCAAUGCUCAAGUAAGCCCUACUCUUUUACUAAUGAAAUGUUCUCAAUUAGCCUAGACCUAUUACCCACCCCUAGAUCAGGGG